GAUACCCUGGUAGUCCACGCCCUAAACGAUGAGUGCUGGGUGUCCGGCUUUAGCUGGGUGCCGAAGCUAACGCGAUAGGCACUCCACCUGGGAAGUACGGUCGCAAGACUGAAACUCAAAGGAAUUGACGGGGGCCCGCACAAGCGGUGGAGCAUGUGGUUUAAUUCGAAGCAACGCGAAGAACCUUACCAGGUCUUGACAUGUAGGGAAGUCUGGUGAAAGCCGGAUGUGCCCGCAAGGGAGCCCUAACACAGGUGCUGCAUGGUCGUCGUCAGCUCGUGUCGUGAGAUGUUGGGUUAAGUCCCGCAACGAGCGCAACCCUUAUCCCUAGUUGCUAACAGUUCGGCUGAGCACUCUAUGGAGACUGCCUACGAAAGUAGGAGGAAGGCGGGGAUGACGUCUGAUCCGCAUGGCCCUUACGACCUGGGCGACACACGUGCUACAAUGCCCAGCACAAAGCGCUGCCACAACGUAAGUUGGAGCCAAUCGCCUAAAGCUGGGCCUAGUUCGGAUUGAGGUCUGCAACCCGACCUCAUGAAGCUGGAAUCGCUAGUAAUCGCGGAUCAGCCAUGCCGCGGUGAAUACGUUCCCGGGCCUUGUACACACCGCCCGUCAAGCCAUGGAAGUGGGUUUUGCCUGAAAUCGCCGGGAGCUUAUGGCAGGCGCUUAGGGUAUGGCUCAUGACUGGGGCU
rnacentral:rRNA from 1 species